CUGACGUCCACUUAUUCAGCCUCUGAAUGUUGCAGUGAAACGGGUGACAUUCCCCUUCAAUUCUCCAGGCUGUCGGGAUUAUGCAACUGCAGUACUCGUGUUGGGCCGGUAGAGGGCGGUGCGGAGCCUGGUAAUUAAUCACCUCUGUGAUGGCAGCUCCGCUUCUCCUGACCCGCAUUCACCCGUACUGUACAGGCAGGGGGGAGGACCGAGCACAGAAAGCUAAUAAACGCUGUAGAGUUCCCUUGCAGACCGUGGUCAUGGCUUUGACAGUCCCUGGCAGACACGGCGCUCCCCUCUCCACACACAUGAUAGCGGACUGAAAGGGGGCUAACACCGGGGAAGCAUUAGCUCCGCCGUUUGAGAUGGUUAACCAGCUGGACUCGCUUGUAUUUCUACGUAUUUGUUCUGCUUUUUUCUUCAAGUGUUAAUCCGGCUGUUCCUUGUUCACGGGGCUUUAUGUUGACGGUACAGGAGGCGCUUUUAUAUCACAAGUCGAGCAUUGGAUGAGAGCAGAAUCAUCUGCUUCAGAGGUGGACCAUCACACAGGAUUCCAUGACUCGUUUUUGGCCCCAGAGCUGCGGUUCAAGACACCAGGACGAACAUCUGAGCAGUGUGUAGGGGUCAGGAUAAAGUAUUUUUCAGACUGGCACAAGAACACCUAUUUCAACAAAGAAGCUCUGCCAUCUGAUGUUUGUGUCACUGAUGAAGACCGGCCUCGAUCUUCAUAGCACCAGGUGGAGCCCCUGAAGAAACCAGCAUACACAUGUUAAGGGGCGGAGCCAAGCUUUGAUUUCUUUUUCCGAUGGACACUGGAAAACCACCAGCAUAUAUUAGACAGAAGAAUAUACUCAAGACUCAAACAACACUACUUUACUUCCCGCCGUCCUCCCCUCUUCCUCUGAUCCAGCUUUCUACCUCCCAGAGAAAUAGAAAAAUUAAAUAAAAGUGAAAGCAACUUAUUACCCGUUAUCAGUUCCUUGUUUCCUUCUCUUGGUGCAACUUUACUUCAUUUACCUCAGGGAUUUUCCUCCCAUUGUCUACCUCCUCCACCGAAACAGCCAGCCCAGCGACUGGAACACACUCGUGACCUCUCGCUGAUGUUUCCAUGACAACCGGUAUUGCCUCUCAAACUCUCCUCACAGCAAACGUGAUGACCAGCAAUGACCUUGGACCUCUUACCACCUACCAGCUCAGACCUGCUCACUGCCUCAAUUGUACUCAUCCACACUUGUAGCCUGGACCUCGGGCAAGUUAUUACUGGAAGGAAAAGGGUCCUAUUGCCAGAAACGAAGUUACACACUCACAAUAGCCUCACCCUUCUGUACAAUAAACCUGGCAGAACACUAUAUACCUCAGCAGACAGAUAGACACUCAGUCAAGGAAACUGAAGGGAACUUUUCAGCAACAGCAUCAGCAUUUACUAUACUGGUGCUUCAAUCCAGCCAGCAGGUAACACAUGCUCACUAGCGUGGUGCUUCAAUCUACCCAGUAGACAACUCACUUCAGCAUUUUGCAUUUGCCUUUGAGGCAGGGGAACAGCAGCCAGGGAGGCCUCCAGAGACGCAGAGAGAGACUCAGGAGUACUGCCCCGAAGGCAUCUUCAUUUCAUUUGCUUCUCAGCAAAGUCACAUCAUACACAACGAUCUAAGCCGUAGCAUAAAUCAGCGAUUGCCCAACAGGCCUUGGGAGAUCACAGAAGGGACUCAGAAGUUCCUGUUGCCUUGUACUUCACCCUGUGAAUCCUCCAGAGAGAUCAAGCUGCCCACGGAGCAGGACAAGUUCUUGGGAGCCUCAUCAGCUUUUCUUACUCUGGAGGCAAGUCACAAAGAUUAAAGAACUCCCUGGCAAAUUGAACUCGGAGCAUUAUGAACCUUGGAAAGUUUGAAGAGUAAACACGAGAUCCAUAUUGUGUGACGGCAAAGAGAAGAGGAGGGAGAAAGCAUUAAGAGUAAAGAGAAGAAUGCAGCGGUGAGUUCCUUUCUUCUUAUUUUAUAUGCUUGUUUAUCAGCAUGCUUCCCUCACAUUUGUUAUUCUCAGUAACAGU
rnacentral:lncRNA from 1 species